rnacentral:rRNA from 1 species
CCUACGGGUGGCUGCAGUGGGGAAUAUUGGACAAUGGGCGAAAGCCUGAUCCAGCCAUGCCGCGUGUGUGAAGAAGGCCUUCGGGUUGUAAAGCACUUUCAGUGGGGAAGAAAGCCUUGGGGCUAAUACCCUCGAGGAAGGACAUCACCCACAGAAGAAGCACCGGCUAACUCCGUGCCAGCAGCCGCGGUAAUACGGAGGGUGCGAGCGUUAAUCGGAAUUACUGGGCGUAAAGCGCGCGUAGGCGGUCUGAUAAGCCGGUUGUGAAAGCCCCGGGCUCAACCUGGGAACGGCAUCCGGAACUGUCAGGCUAGAGUGCAGGUGAGGAAGGUAGAAUUCCCGGCGUAGCGGUGAAAUGCGUAGAGAUCGGGAGGAAUACCAGUGGCGAAGGCGGCCUUCUGGACUGACACUGACGCUGAGGUGCGAAAGCGUGGGUAGCAAACAGGAUUAGAUACCCUGGUAGUC